GCGAAGGUGGCGGAAUGGCAGACGCGCUAGCUUGAGGUGCUAGUGGGGUAACACCCGUGGAGGUUCGAGUCCUCUUCUUCGCA
rnacentral:tRNA from 1 species